rnacentral:lncRNA from 1 species
CAGAAAGGGCCUGGUAAACCAAAAAAUGUUUUCUUUAUUUCCACCUCUGAUUCCAAACCCCUUUCAGCCACCACCAGCAAUACUUCCUCCCAUCAUCCCUUCGCCACCGCCUUCAAUAUUUCCUCCUUUCUUCCCAUCACCUCCGCCUUCAAUAUUUCCUCCUGUUUUUCCGACCCCUCCACAGCCACCACCUUCAAUAUUUCCUCCAUUUUUCCCUGCACCACCAGUAGCACCUCCUCCAUCAAUAUUUCCUCCACUCUUCCCUCCAAUACCGGGAUUUAGUCCUCCGGUGGUGAUGCCACCACCGCCACCGCCACCAGUCUUCCCAUUUCUUCCACCAGGAUUCCCCGGAGUGCCGCCAGUGGCAAGGUCAAGUCAUUCAGAAGAGACAAAACAUCCUUAAUUAAAUGAAAGUCACAUGCA